rnacentral:rRNA from 1 species
GACGAACGCUGGCGGCGUGCUUAACACAUGCAAGUGGUGCGACGAACCAGGGCUUGCCCUGGGGCUAAGCCGCGAACGGGUGAGUAACACGUGAGUAAUCUGCCCCGAUGACCGGGACAACCCGAGGAAACUCGGGCUAAUACCGGAUGUGGUGCACAGGCGUAAGCCCGUGUACUAAAGGAAGCUUCGGCCUCCGCAUUGGGAGGAGCUCGCGGCCCAUUAGCUGGUUGGUGGGGUAACGGCCUACCAAGGCAACGAUGGGUAGCUGGUCUGAGAGGACGAUCAGCCACACUGGGACUGAGACACGGCCCAGACUCCUACGGGAGGCAGCAGUGGGGAAUCUUGCGCAAUGCGCGAAAGCGUGACGCAGCAACGCCGCGUGGGGGAAGACGGCCUUCGGGUUGUAAACCCCUUUCAGGAGGGACGAAGGUUCACCGGUGAAUAGCCGUGUGGAUUGACGGUACCUCCACAAGAAGCUCCGGCUAACUACGUGCCAGCCGCCGCCGUAAAAC